rnacentral:rRNA from 1 species
AACGAACGCUGGCGGCGUGCCUAACACAUGCAAGUCGAGCGCGAAAGUCCCCUCGGGGGCGAGUAGAGCGGCGGACGGGUGAGUAAUACGUGGAUAAUCUGCCCUUGAGCUCGGGAUAACCCCGCGAAAGUGGGGCUAAUACCGGAUAAGACCACGUGACCCAAGUCACGGGGUAAAAGGUGGCCUGUAUUCAUACAUGCUAUCACUUGAGGAUGAGUCCACGGCCUAUCAGCUUGUUGGUGAGGUAAUGGCUCACCAAGGCUAUGACGGGUAGCUGGUCUGAGAGGACGAUCAGCCACACUGGGACUGAGACACGGCCCAGACUCCUACGGGAGGCAGCAGUGGGGAAUAUUGGGCAAUGGGCGAAAGCCUGACCCAGCGACGCCGCGUGGGCGAUGAAGGCCUUCGGGUCGUAAAGCCCUGUCAUGCGGAAAGAAAAGUCCCGCGAUUAAUACUCGCGGGAUGUGACGGUACCGCAGAAGGAAGCACCGGCUAACUCCGUG